UUUUACAAUUAGAGUUACUGUCUCUUGUGAGAAAGAACCGGCUCCCGGAGCAAAUUAUCUGUGAGUGACCGCUUAUUGAAGAAGAGCGGAAUUCUGAAGGUUUUGAAGUCAUUCGAUCGUUACUACGAUGGCAAAAUGAAUGGUGAUUGUGUCAAGUUUAAUUCUGAAUCUUCGAUCAGGACUGUCUAUAUAAAGCUUUCAAGAGGCAAUUUGGAAGGUGUUUUUCCUGGGAAUCAAUGGGCUCUGCUGUGAAAGUUCCAUGAAGAUAUAAUUAGCUGGAAGACUUCGUGAUUAAUUAUGCAAGCUACUGACUACAAAAAAGUCUUCAUAAGAGUGGAAGUGAUUAGUUGGAAGACUUCAAAGAUUUAUUAUUAAAGCCACUAACUACAGAAAACUUUAUUCUUCCUUCAGAAUAGUGGAAGUAAUUAGCUUGAUUACUUCAUGACUGAUGCAAGCUACUAACUACAGCGAGCUUAAUACCUUCGUAAGAGUGGAAGACUUAAACUUUACUCUGUUAUUCAUUGGCGUUCAAGGAUAAAAAUUUAAUUUCCUUGAGUUUCACUAAGAUAUUGGCAGUGGGAGGCCCUUGAAGGGAUGCAAGGAUAGUUCACUAUUACUUGUGUACUAGCUGUAGAACAAUUUACGUUAGUUGGGAACUAUAUUCAAGGAAAAUUUUGAGGUUUAGAUCUUAUCAGUUUGAAUUAGUGAAUAGUCUGUUCCCAGUUUAAGGCUGAAUGACGUCGUAGGUCCCAGCACUUGGCUUUUGGCUUAAAUUCUAUAUUCUAUUCUAUUCUAUAGUUCCCUGUUUAGUAAGCCAAUAAGAAAGCAACCUGAUGUCCUUGCUUACAAAAAAAAAAAAAAUGACCAUUGGCAAUAGAAGUAAAAAGACAGACAAUUAAGCCACGAAAUUGGCUUUUCCCAAGUUAUAGGUUUUUCCCGAGUCGAGGCUUACGGUGAAGGUUAGUGGUACAAUCGGCACUACAAAGUAAUCAGUGAAGAUGGCGGGGCUAAACAUCAGUUUGUAAUAAUGGUUGAAGCAUUGUCUAAACUUGCUUUAAUUAGCCUAAAUUUGCAGAGGUUCAACAAUAUUGGCCUAAAUCUAGUUAUCAUGGCUGGAGUAAUUUUAAUAUAAUUGAGAUUACAGUAUUUCGUGUAAUUGUAAUUGACAAUGAAAUUGUUUGUAAUUAAAUUACAGCAUGAUGUAUUUCAUUCAAUUUUAAUAAAAUUUGCUGCUACUCAGCCCGUGCCCAAGAUUAGCCUUUGCACUCUCGCCCAAAUCCCUUGUAAUUGUACUAAUGGAAUUUGUAAUUGUAUUGUAUUUGAAGUUUCCAAAUAUUGUAAUUUCCAUUGGUUAAAGUAAUUAUAAUUUUAAUUUACUUACUCCAACCCUGCAAGCUAUAAUUUUUAGUUUAGCAAAUUUUAAGUUUAUUAAAUUUUCCAGCAUUGAAGACAUUUGGGCAGCAGAUUGGUGGCUUAAUAGUUCAGAAUCCUAGUUUGUGGUUUUUCUUUGUGGGGGUGUGGGAGGGGGAAUAGUGACUCAAUUUCACUGGUUCUGUAUCGAAGCAAUCGCAUGAUGGUAGGUAGCUUAGGCCUUUCAAGGCCUUAUCAUUGAAUGUGGCUUUUUCUAAGAUUAGUUUUUUUAACCCUUCACAGAGAAAAUUUGCUAGGCCUGCCACUGCUGUUUCAAUUUUGACAACAUUCAAGAAUUGUCGAUAAAUCUAUUCUUUGCUAAAUAACCACUGGUUCCAUGCAACGUAAAAACAAAGUACCUAAUAUUUGAAUUUGGUGAUCUGUAAAUGUCUAUACAUACGUAUUUCACAUCUGGUAAUCUUAACUCAAUAUAAUAAGAUU